rnacentral:rRNA from 1 species
UACAGAGGGUGCGAGCGUUAAUCGGAAUUACUGGGCGUAAAGCGCACGUAGGUGGCGACGUAAGUCGGGUGUGAAAGCCCCGGGCUCAACCUGGGAAUUGCAUUCGAGACUGCAUUGCUGGAGUACGGAAGAGGAGGGCGGAAUUCCCGGUGUAGCGGUGAAAUGCGCAGAUAUCGGGAGGAACACCGGUGGCGAAGGCGGUUCUCUGGGCCUUACCUGACACUGAGGAGCGAAAGCGUGGGGAGCGAACAGG